UACGUAGGGUGCGAGCGUUAAUCGGAAUUACUGGGCGUAAAGCGUGCGCAGGCGGUUCGUUAAGUUCGUUGUGAAAGCCCCGGGCUCAACCUGGGAACUGCAAUGGAAACUGGCGGGCUUGAGUGUGGCAGAGGGGGGUGGAAUUCCGCGUGUAGCAGUGAAAUGCGUAGAGAUGUGGAGGAAUACCGAUGGCGAAGGCAGCCCCCUGGGCCAAUACUGACGCUCAUGCACGAAAGCGUGGGGAGCAAACAGG
rnacentral:rRNA from 1 species